ensembl:lncRNA
GUCUGAGCCACCAGGGAAGCUUGUGUUUUAUUACAGAUGCACGAUAAAUAGGGCAGGUUUAGAAAGCUCUCUCUAGGGAAUGGUAGAUGAUGGACUGGAGUUGGGUACGAAAGGCAGUUGGACCAGUGAGUGGAGUUUGCAGCAGAGCAGGUACAAGAUCUGCAUUUGGUCGUUGAUCCCAGAAAUGAAGUGGGGCGGUGGGGGAUGUUUCCAAAGCAGGAUGCCCUUUGUCCCUUAAGCAACAGGACCCUGUUGUCUCUAAACUUCAGGACAGAAAUGACUCUAGGGAGCUCCCCCAUGCCUCCCUCUGGGUUACAGACACCUCUGCUGGCGCCCUCUCUCGUCCCCGUCGCCAGCCCCCGCCUCCUUUCUCAGGAAGCUUGGGUCUCCCUGGGAGCGGGUCUGCCCUUGGGGGAGGCCUGUCGACUCGGCGCCCUGCAGCCCGACGGACAUUCGGGGCGGAUCGAAGAGGGGCUCGGCGCCCCCUGCGUGCACAUGUGCUAGCCCGGGCAGGAGGGAGCGCCUCCGCGGAGGAGUCCAGGAAGAGGGGGCAGGGAGAGGCGCUCCAGAACCUCGGUCCCGGGCGCCCUGGUCGGCCGCGGUGGAGCUGCAGCUUCCAACAGGAUUCCUCCGCAUGCCAGGAAGACUGUGUUGGUGUGUUUUGAUGCCAAUCAGUGCUGUAGAGCAUGCUGAACCGUGUCCACAUUUCAGCAGAAUCCCUGUGGACACCUGCACGACCCACUGGAAAAAUGCCGGUGGAGAAAGGAGUGAGCUGCCAAGUGUUUUGAGCAGGGUCAGCACUGCAUGGUCAGAGCUCAGCGCACAGAGGAGCUGUGAGUCAGCCUCAUGCAAGGGAUAUGGAGGGAGGUGGGGCUGAGGGAGCCAGGCAGAGGUGGGGAAACACACCAGGUGGCUGGGCCACAGUGCAGGGGGAGCUGGUAAGGCCUGAGGAGUCCAUGGGGAGGAGAAAGGGCAGAGAUGGCAU